UUUCCGUUCCCUGUUCUCUCACAGCCCUGUUCUCUGCCGUUCCGUUCCGUUCUCACAGCCGUUCCGUUGGAGUCCCUGAUGUUUUGAUCUUCAACAACAAUCGCCUCUUCCAGUUCUUCCUCAAGACCGAUUCAACUGCAACUGCUGGGUUUACCCAGCUACCGAUUAAUACAAGACGAGCUCAAAUCUCUGCAAUGGCGACUUGCACUGUGAGUGUGCUCAGGUGACUGGCUCCAGCGACUCUGCUUCAUCGACGUGUUGCGUGGUGCUCAGCUUUGGAAGAAGGCUAUGCUCAUCUAUUUGAAGAGAAGUGUAUA